GCAUAUCAAUAAGCGGAGGAAAAGAAAAUAACAAUGAUUCCCUCAGUAACGGCGAGCGAAGAGGGAUAAGCUCAAAUUUUAAAUCUGUUGGGUUCCACUCGACAGAGUUGUAUUUUGAAGAAACGUUUUCUGCAUCCAGGAUUAGCCUAAAUCCUUUGGGAUAAGGUAUCAUGGAGGGUGAGAAUCCCGUUCAUGGUUAAUCUUAAGGAAGCUCUACGAUACGUUUUCCAAGAGUCGAGUUGUUUGGGAUUGCAGCUCAAAAUGGGAGGUAAAUUUCUCCUAAGGCUAAAUAUUGGCGAGAGACCGAUAGCGAACAAGUACCGUGAGGGAAAGAUGAAAAGAACUUUGAAAAGAGAGUUAAACAGUACGUGAAAUUGUUGAAAGGGAAACGAUUGAAGUCAGUCAUACCAACGGGAAAUCAACCUUUUGAGCUCGGUCUCGUGGGUUUUGAAGAGUUUCAAAGCCUUCGGAUUCGCGGGAUUGGGAUCUCUUGGCGUACUUUUUCGUACGGUUAGUCAACAUCGGUUUUGAAUGUCAUAAAAUGACUGGAGGAAUGUAGCUUCGAUCUCGUAUUGAAGUGUUAUAGCCUUUGGUAGAUGUGAUGUUUGAGACCGAGGAUUGCAACGGAUACCCUUCAGGGCUAUUCGUCUGAUCUCUGAUACGUUGCCUUGAUGUUGAAAGCUUGCUUAUGAUGUUAGGGUAUUACGGUCAAAAGGUUAGAACGAAUUACAUUCGUUAAGGAUGUUGACGUAAUGGCUUUAAACGAC
rnacentral:rRNA from 1 species